GAGCAUUUCUACUAGAUUUAUUUCAUUUAAUAAACAAAAACAAGAAUAAAUGUAUUCAUAAAAUGAUUUUAGCAAAACCAAAUUUACUUAAUAUAUUGCAUGGUAUAAAGAAUAUAAAGAAACAAAUAUACACACACACAAGAUUUGAAUGUAUUUGACUUGGCUUCUAAACCAAAAGGUUUCAAAGUUAAAUUAUGGUGAAGAUUUUUUAAAAAGUAAUUUUUUGGUUGUUUUUGUGUUCAGCCCUACUUUAAUGAUUAGUUGCUGAAAGUAAAGAUAGCUGGUCACUGAGCUGACCACAUCACAUGUUUGAACACAAAAUCUAAUAACGUUAUGUGGGUAAGUAGCUAACUGGUCAUAUUGAGCUCUGAAAGUAAAACAAUACCAAAGAAAAGUGUUCUGAACUUUCAACAAGAAGAAAUUAACAAUGGAGACAGAUUCAAUAUUAAUUUUUUUAAAAAAAGCACAUUGCAAUUCAUAAAACUAAGUACAUAUGUGAAGAGCAAGUAAAAAAAAAUAAGUCAUCACUAUCACAAGGCAAUAUCACAAUAGGCUUAUCACAGCAGUUUGUAAUAUAGUUGAUAGCAGUUUACUACAGCAAAAAAAAAAAAGAAAAAAAACUUUCAACAAUGGAGAACAUUGACAGUUUGGGUAAAGAGGGAUAUUAUAUGUUAUUCUCACUCCUUUCUUUUCAACAGCUCUCCUUUGUAAAUGUUCAUUACCUACAAAGUCAAUGUGCUGCAGCACACGCUCAAAUAUUUGUCACCCCCCCCCCC